rnacentral:rRNA from 1 species
UACGUAGGGGGCAAGCGUUGUCCGGAAUUAUUGGGCGUAAAGAGCGUGUAGGCGGCCAGAUAAGUCCGCUGUGAAAUCUCGAGGCUCAACUUCGAGCUGUCGGUGGAAACUAUCUGGCUAGAGUCCGGAAGAGGAGAAUGGAAUUCCUGGUGUAGCGGUGAAAUGCGCAGAUAUCAGGAAGAACACCCGUGGCGAAGGCGGUUCUCUAGUACGGUACUGACGCUGAGACGCGAAGGCGUGGGGAGCGAACAGG